rnacentral:RNase_P_RNA from 1 species
GGAGUUGGUCAGGCAGUCGCUAUAUUUUGAUAUUUGAAAUAUAGAGGAAAGUCCGGGCUUCAUAGGACGGGGUGCCAGGUAACGCCUGGGAGACGUGAGUCUAUGGAAAGUGCCGCAGAAAAUAGACCGCCAAGUCAGUUAUCAGUUGAAUGAUUAACUGAUAACUAACCAGGUAAGGGUGAAAAGGUGUCGGUAAGAGCGCACCGCGUUGGUGGCAACACCAAUGGCAGGGUAAACCCCACCCGAAGCAAGACCAAAUAGUGGAACUAUAAGUGUGGUCCGCAUUGUUCCUGGGUAGGUCGCUUGAGGUGCUUGGUGACAAGCAUCCCAGAUGAAUGACUGCCACAUCGCUUGUUUUCCCUACCUUAAAUAAAUUUAGGAAUCAUUCUUUUGUUUAAGGUAAGGGGAAUUAAUCGAUGGACAGAACCCGGCUUAUAGACUGACUCCCACU